GGGGAAUUUUGGACAAUGGGGGCAACCCUGAUCCAGCCAUCCCGCGUGUGCGAUGAAGGCCUUCGGGUUGUAAAGCACUUUUGGCAGGGAAGAAACGGCGCCGGAUAAUACCUGGCGUCACUGACGGUACCUGCAGAAUAAGCACCGGCUAACUACGUGCCAGCAGCCGCGGUAAUACGUAGGGUGCAAGCGUUAAUCGGAAUUACUGGGCGUAAAGCGUGCGCAGGCGGUUUGGCAAGAAAGAUGUGAAAUCCCAGAGCUUAACUUUGGAACUGCAUUUUUAACUGCCAAGCUAGAGUAUGUCAGAGGGGGGUAGAAUUCCACGUGUAGCAGUGAAAUGCGUAGAGAUGUGGAGGAAUACCGAUGGCGAAGGCAGCCCCCUGGGAUAAUACUGACGCUCAUGCACGAAAGCGUGGGGAGCAAAC
rnacentral:rRNA from 1 species